rnacentral:rRNA from 1 species
AUGAAGCGCGUAGUGGGGAGCCCGGGGACAUGGAGCGGCAUGGCACUGCGGCUGUCGCAGUCCGUCUUCGCCGCCGCCUCCACCUUCUCCAUGGUCUCCGGCUUCGGCUACUCCAACUACAGCGCCUUCUUCUACAUGAAUCUAGCGUUGAUCCUGCAGAUUAUGUGGAGUUUGGGCCUUGCUUGUAAGGAUAUCUUUGCUCUAAGGAAUAAAAAGGAUCUUCACACCCCGGAUAAUCUAUUUAUCAUUGUUAUGGUUGACUGGGUCGUGGCGGUUUUCAUGUUCUCAGGAGCCUGUGCCUCCGCGAGCCUGACAAUUUUCUUCAUGUGGGAUGUGCAAUUCUGCGAGACAUACUCGAAGCUGGCCUGCCGGCAGUUCGCUCUUUCGGUCGUCCUGGCGUUCAUCACGUGGUUGCUGCAAGCUGCUUCUUCUUUCUCCGGAUUCUGGCUACUGGUUUCGUUCUCCUAG